AGACCCCAUGUGACCUUUCAGUCACAUGAAUGCUCAGCACCUGCAUUGGAAUCCAUUUGAACACUUGGAAAUAUCUUAGAGUUUAUAGGAACCCUAAUUUGCACUGGUUUUUAAAAAUGUACAAAAAUUAUUGCUUCUAUUUAUAAAAAUCUCAAAUGUCAUAUUUCCAUGCAACCUAGAAGAAGGAGCAGACUUCAUCUCUCCAAGAGAAAGG